rnacentral:rRNA from 1 species
AUUGAACGCUGGCGGCAUGCUUUACACAUGCAAGUCGAACGGUAACAGGUUAAGCUGACGAGUGGCGAACGGGUGAGUAAUGCAUCGGAACGUGCCCGAUCGUGGGGGAUAACGCAGCGAAAGCUGCGCUAAUACCGCAUACGAUCUGAGGAUGAAAGCGGGGGACCGUAAGGCCUCGCGCGAUCGGAGCGGCCGAUGUCAGAUUAGGUAGUUGGUGGGGUAAAGGCUCACCAAGCCGACGGUCUGUAGCUGGUCUGAGAGGACGACCAGCCACACUGGGACUGAGACACGGCCCAGACUCCUACGGGAGGCAGCAGUGGGGAAUUUUGGACAAUGGGCGAAAGCCUGAUCCAGCAAUGCCGCGUGCAGGAAGAAGGCCUUCAGGUUGUAAACUGCUUUUGUACGGAGCGAAAAGGCUCUCUCUAAUACAGGGGGCUCAUGACGGUACCGUAAGAAUAAGCACCGGCUAACUACGUGCCAGCCGCCGCGGUAAAAC